UUCAAAACAAGUUUUGGAAUUGAAACUGAACUUUCUUCAUUGACCACCUUAGGAUACAAUGGUUUUGAAAUUGAAAACAGUGAUUUGAUUUUGUUUAACAAAUCAAAGAUUUCAGGUAACAAUCUAACAGAACCCAACUCAACAACACCAAAAUCAGUAGGUACUAAAACAACAGUUUGAAUACCAGCAGAUUUAGCCAAGAAAGAACGAAAGCAGUAAUCAGAAACAGAUUUGAACCACAAAUGUUUACCAGAAGCGAAACACUUACCGGGUCCACCAUACCCUUUCGGGAAAAAGAAGUACAUAGAAGCUAAAAAGAACAUCUCUGUGUCGGUUAC
rnacentral:lncRNA from 1 species